rnacentral:rRNA from 1 species
AGAGUUUGAUCCUGGCUCAGGAUCAACGCUGGCGGCGUGCCUAACGCAUGUAAGUCGAACGCACAGCCUUCGGGUUGUGAGUGGCGAACGGCUGAGGAACACGUACGAACCUGCCUGUUUGUGGGGAAUAACGCGCCGAAAGGCGUGCUAAUACCGCGUACGCUCACCUUUACCGGUGAGGAAAGCCUUCGGGCGCAGACAGCGGGGCGUGCGGCCCAUCAGGUUGUUGGUGGGGUAAUGGCCUACCAAGCCGGUGACGGGUAGCUGGUCUGUGAGGACGAUCAGCCAGACUGGGACUGCGACACGGCCCAGACACCUACGGGUGGCAGCAGCGAGGAAUCUUCCACAAUGGGCGAAAGCCCGAUGGAGCAACGCCGCGUGGAGGACGACGGCCUUCGGGUUGUAAACUCCUGUCAUUGGUGAACAAGAUCUGCCGGGUAACUCCGUGCAGGUUUGCUAGUAGCCGAAGAGGAAGGGACGGCUAACUCUGUGCCAGCAGCCGCGGUAAUACAGAGGUCCCAAGCGUUGUUCGGAUUUAUUGGGCGUAAAGGGUGCGUAGGCGGCGGAGUAAGUUGGGUGUGAAAUCCCGGGGCUCAACCUCGGAAUUGCAUUCAAUACUGCUUCGCUAGAGUACUGGAGAGGAGGCUGGAAUUUACGGUGUAGCAGUGAAAUGCGUAGAUAUCGUAAGGAAGGCCGGUGGCGAAAGCGAGCCUCUGGACAGUUACUGACGCUGAUGCACGAAGGCCAGGGGAGCAAACGGGAUUAGAUACCCCCGUAGUCC